CAGAGUUUGAUCCUGGCUCAGAUUGAACGCUGGCGGCAGGCCUWACACAUGCAAGUCGAGCGGAUGACGGGAGCUUGCUCCUUGAUUCAGCGGCGGACGGGUGAGUAAUACCUAGGAAUCUGCCUGGUAGUGGGGGACAACGUUUCGAAAGGAACGCUAAUACCGCAUACGUCCUACGGGAGAAAGCAGGGGACCUUCGGGCCUUGCGCUAUCAGAUGAGCCUAGGUCGGAUUAGCUAGUUGGUGAGGUAAUGGCUCACCAAGGCGACGAUCCGUAACUGGUCUGAGAGGAUGAUCAGUCACACUGGAACUGAGACACGGUCCAGACUCCUACGGGAGGCAGCAGUGGGGAAUAUUGGACAAUGGGCGAAAGCCUGAUCCAGCCAUGCCGCGUGUGUGAAGAAGGUCUUCGGAUUGUAAAGCACUUUAAGUUGGGAGGAAGGGCAUUAACCUAAUACGUUAGUGUUUUGACGUUACCGACAGAAUAAGCACCGGCUAACUCUGUGCCAGCAGCCGCGGUAAUACAGAGGGUGCAAGCGUUAAUCGGAAUUACUGGGCGUAAAGCGCGCGUAGGUGGUUUGUUAAGUUGGAUGUGAAAUCCCCGGGCUCAACCUGGGAACUGCAUCCAAAACUGGCAAGCUAGAGUAGGGCAGAGGGUGGUGGAAUUUCCUGUGUAGCGGUGAAAUGCGUAGAUAUAGGAAGGAACACCAGUGGCGAAGGCGACCACCUGGGCUCAUACUGACACUGAGGUGCGAAAGCGUGGGGAGCAAACAGGAUUAGAUACCCUGGUAGUCCACGCCGUAAACGAUGUCAACUAGCCGUUGGAAUCCUUGAGAUUUUAGUGGCGCAGCUAACGCAUUAAGUUGACCGCCUGGGGAGUACGGCCGCAAGGUUAAAACUCAAAUGAAUUUGACGGGGGCCCGCACAAGCGG
rnacentral:rRNA from 1 species